AUGGAACAGAAUAGAGAGCCCAGAAAUAGAUCUUCAUAGAUCCCCUGAGCCCCAGAGAUCUGGGCUCUAGUGCACUAUGCCAAUUGGGUGUCCACACUAAGUUCGGCACAAAUAUGGUGACCUCCAGGUUGCCUAAGGAAGGGUGAACUGGCUCAAGUCAGAAAAAACAAGUCAAAACUCCUGUGCUGAUCAGUAGUGGAAUCGCACCUGUGAAAAGCCACUAUGCUCCAGUCUGGCCAAUAUAGCAAGAU
ensembl:misc_RNA Metazoa_SRP Metazoan signal recognition particle RNA